CCUACGGGCGGCAGCAGUGAGGAAUAUUGGUCAAUGGUCGGAAGCCUGAACCAGCCAAGUAGCGUGCGGGAUGAAGGUCCUAAGGGUCGUAAACCGCUUUUGCAAGGGGAUAACACCCUCCACUUGUGGAGGUCUGCAGGUACCGGGCGAAUAAGGGUCGGCUAAUUCCGUGCCAGCAGCCGCGGUAAUACGGAGGGCCCGAGCGUUAUCCGGAUUUAUUGGGUUUAAAGGGUGCGCAGGCGGAGGUGAAAGUCAGCGGUCAAAUUGCGGGGCUCAACCCCGUACUGCCGUUGAAACUGCAAGCCUUGAGUUGGCGAGAAGUAUGCGGAAUGCGUGGUGUAGCGGUGAAAUGCAUAGAUAUCACGCAGAACUCCGAUUGCGAAGGCAGCAUGCCGGCGCGCAACUGACGCUGAGGCACGAAAGCGUGGGUAUCGAACAGGAUUAGAUACCCCUGUAGUC
rnacentral:rRNA from 1 species